rnacentral:rRNA from 1 species
GACGAACCGUGCGAACGUUGUUCGGAAUCACUGGGCUUAAAGGGCGCGUAGGCGGGCCGCCAAGUCAGGGGUGAAAUCCUCCGGCCUAACCGGAGAACGGCUUUUGAUACUGGCGGUCUCGAGGGGGGUAGGGGCAUGCGGAACUUCCGGUGGAGCGGUGAAAUGCGUAGAUAUCGGAAGGAACGCCGGUGGCGAAAGCGGCGUGCUGGACCCCUUCUGACGCUGAGGAGCGAAAGCGUGGGGAGCGAACAGG